GUGAAUCAUCGAAUCUUUGAACGCAAAUUGCACUCUCUUCGGAGAGUAUGCCGGGUUGAGGGUCAGUAUUAAUAAAAAUCGGUGUGUUGCUGCUUGGUGACGCUCCGGAGUUUGGGUCAUCUUAAUAUAUUGUAGGUUUUAAGAGGCUUAAAAUUGACUUUUUUUGCGCAUUAUAGAUGUACAUAAAUUCUUUUGUUUAUUCGUCUGUCUUAUUGCGCAAUAUCCUAUUAGAUGCGACCAUAUCGAGUGGAUUCGUGU
rnacentral:misc_RNA from 1 species